rnacentral:rRNA from 1 species
CUACGUGCCAGCAGCCGCGGUAAUACGGAAGGUCCAGGCGUUAUCCGGAUUUAUUGGGUUUAAAGGGAGCAUAGGCCGGAGAUUAAGUGUGUUGUGAAAUGUAGACGCUCAACGUCUGAAUUGCAGCGCAUACUGGUUUCCUUGAGUACGCACAACGUUGGCGGAAUUCGUCGUGUAGCGGUGAAAUGCUUAGAUAUGACGAAGAACUCCGAUUGCGAAGGCAGCUGACGGGAGCGCAACUGACGCUUAAGCUCGAAGGUGCGGGUAUCAAACAGGAUUAGAUACCCUGGUAGUCCGCACAGUAAACGAUGGAUGCCCGCUGUUGGUACCUGGUAUCAGCGGCUAAGCGAAAGCAUUAAGCAUCCCACCUGGGGAGUACGCCGGCAACGGUGAAACUCAAAGGAAUUGACGGGGGCCCGCACAAGCGGAGGAACAUGUGGUUUAAUUCGAUGAUACGCGAGGAACCUUACCCGGGCU